CAGGCCUAACACAUGCAAGUCGAACGGUGAAGCCAAGCUUGCUUGGUGGAUCAGUGGCGAACGGGUGAGUAACACGUGAGCAACCUGCCCUGGACUCUGGGAUAAGCGCUGGAAACGGUGUCUAAUACUGGAUAUGAGCCUCUUCCGCAUGGUGGGGGUUGGAAAGAUUUUUCGGUCUGGGAUGGGCUCGCGGCCUAUCAGCUUGUUGGUGAGGUAAUGGCUCACCAAGGCGUCGACGGGUAGCCGGCCUGAGAGGGUGACCGGCCACACUGGGACUGAGACACGGCCCAGACUCCUACGGGAGGCAGCAGUGGGGAAUAUUGCACAAUGGGCGGAAGCCUGAUGCAGCGACGCCGCGUGAGGGAUGAAGGCCUUCGGGUUGUAAACCUCUUUCAGCAGGGACGAAGCGAAAGUGACGGUACCUGCAGAAGAAGCACCGGCCAACUACGUGCCAGCAGCCGCGGUAAU
rnacentral:rRNA from 1 species